rnacentral:rRNA from 1 species
AUGCAAGUCAAGGGGGCCCAGCAAUGGGCAACCGGCGAACGGGUGCGUAACACGUGAGCAACCUACCGAACUGUGGGGGAUAGCCGGCCUAACGGCCGAGUAAUACCGCAUACGCUUUCGAUGAGGCAUUUCAUUGAAAGGAAACCUACGGGACAGAUCGAGGGGCUCGCGGCCUAUCAGCUAGUUGGCGAGGUAACGGCUCACCAAGGCGACGACGGGUAGCUGGUCUGAGAGGAUGGCCAGCCACAUUGGGACUGAGAUACGGCCCAGACUCCUACGGGAGGCAGCAGUGGGGAAUCUUGCGCAAUGGCCUAACGGCUGACGCAGCGACGCCGCGUGUGGGAUGAAGCUCUUCGGAGUGUAAACCACUGUUGCCCGGGACGAAUAGCUCGAUUAAUCGAGCCUGACGGUACCGGGUGAGGAAGCACCGGCUAACUCCGUGCCAGCAGCCGCGGUAAUACGGGGGGUGCGAGCGUUGUCCGGAAUCACUGGGCGUAAAGGGCGCGUAGGUGGUUUGAUAAGGGUGUGGUGAAAGUCCGGAGCUCAACUCCGGAUCUGCCGUGCCGACUGUCAAACUCGAGGGCUGUAGAGGCAGACGGA